rnacentral:rRNA from 2 species
GUGGAUUAGUGGCGAACGGGUGAGUAACACGUGGGCAAUCUGCCCUUCACUCUGGGACAAGCCCCUGGAAACGGGGUCUAAUACCGGAUAAUACUUUCUCCUGCAUGGGGGAGGGUUGAAAGCUCCGGCGGUGAAGGAUGAGCCCGCGGCCUAUCAGCUUGUUGGUGGGGUGAUGGCCUACCAAGGCGACGACGGGUAGCCGGCCUGAGAGGGCGACCGGCCACACUGGGACUGAGACACGGCCCAGACUCCUACGGGAGGCAGCAGUGGGGAAUAUUGCACAAUGGGCGGAAGCCUGAUGCAGCGACGCCGCGUGAGGGAUGACGGCCUUCGGGUUGUAAACCUCUUUCAGCAGGGAAGAAGCGUGAGUGACGGUACCUGCAGAAGAAGCGCCGGCUAACUACGUGCCAGCAGCCGCGGUAAUACGUAGGGCGCAAGCGUUGUCCGGAAUUAUUGGGCGUAAAGAGCUCGUAGGCGGCUUGUCGCGUCGGAUGUGAAAGCCCGGGGCUUAACCCCGGGUCUGCAUUCGAUACGGGCAGGCUAGAGUGUGGUAGGGGAGAUCGGAAUUCCUGGUGUAGCGGUGAAAUGCGCAGAUAUCAGGAGGAACACCGGUGGCGAAGGCGGAUCUCUGGGCCAUUACUGACGCUGAGGAGCGAAAGCGUGGGGAGCG